rnacentral:lncRNA from 10 species
GAGGCCCGGUCCCGAAUCUGUGGCCCAUUCUGCAAGGUACAGGCUGUCUCAGAGAGAACAUGACUGUCCUUCCCCUCCUGGUCCUUGAAACAAAACCCUCAUGUCACAGGAAAAGAGGCAGUGCUGAGCUUUGCCUGCUGAUGAGCACAGGUCGGUAAGCCAGGUGGGUCCGCCAGUGUCUGCCCUGGGCAGGGGGCUUCCAUUCUGCUCCCACCCUCCCCGUGGGGUGAAAUUCAGGGCUUGGAGCAUUACCCAGGCCCCUGCAGAGCAGGUGGUUUCCAUCAUGGAGGGAGGAAGAAUAGGAUCCUAUCGUGUGGAGAUGGCCAAGCACCUCAGGCUGCCAUGGCAACACAGUGGGCAGGCCCUGCUCCUGGGGCUCUGGUCUCAGGGCAGGCAGCCCCGACCCACAUUCUGCGCUGGCCUCUCCUGUGUGGGCGCCGCAAGAGCUCUUCUGAGUAGUGAUGGUCAGGACCACCUCAUCCCACUCUGGGAGAAGGCGUGGGCUGUGACCUCUGCCCCUUGGCCUAAGGUGGCAUGGUCUCCAAGCCUCCACCUGGCACGUGCAGAUCGAAAUCUCCCUCCUAGUCUCCUCCCUUCCUCCUCACUGUAUUUCCAAAGGUGGGUGCUCAGACCACACGAACUGUGGAGGCAACCCCAGCACUUCCGGAGCCCCCCAGGGCCUGACUGCUGCUUCCUCUAUCCUCAUCUGCUUCCCUGGGACGAAGGUUCAGGGCUAAGCAGGAAGGAGAGUUGGCUUCACCGAAGAAGGAGCACAGCCUCAUCAUUUCCUAAACACACCCUGCCUUCACGGGACGUGAGACAGCAAUGGCCAGACCACCCCUGCGGACCAGGCUGCUGAACGUGCUCCUGCCUCCCUUUAUAUCAGCAAGUGCCCUGCUGGAAGUUCUGCCUAUGCCCACGCUGCUCUUGGUCGCCAUUUAGGGAAUGGUCAGGGCACAGGCCCGCCUCACACAUCCUCAGAGAGGUGAGGCUCAAAGAGCUUACCUGAGGCUGUGCGGUGCAGACUGACCUCUCCAGAGAAGUCUCCCCGAGCAUGAAGCUGUAGCGUGUCCAGGUUCACAGAGACGUUGGGCCGGGUGAAGAGCACACCUUGUGCCCUGGUGGUGCCGCCUGUGUGGGAGCUGCUCAUCCUACGGGGGCAGAACUGUGUGUGAGCUUUUUGGAAAUUUCCUGAGCCAGUUGAUUCACAUGGAAGCUUCAAAUCCCCACAGAAAUUGACAAACACUGUAAGUGAGCCGCCACUCUCCCACAGGACAGUGCUGGCAACUGCUAUGGCAGCCUCAAGUGAACAAGUCUGCAAAAGGGGCUCUGUCAUCCCCUGGGACUGGUCCUACGGCAGCAGAAGCGUGAAGCAGUCGGGGAAUUGGCAUCUGCAUGAGAUCCCACUAAUGCCAUAAAAGCACCCCUCAAGAUGUUGACCACCAGCCUCACUCAGCCCGGAGACCACAGCCAAGAUGUAGCACAUGUUUAGAUUAGAGCCUCUGCAGUUAUCUCAUGCUGGACUGCCCAUAAAAUGCCAUCAGGUGUUGCUUGUCCAAGGGUGAUUUUUCUCCUGACAGGUGCUUUGGGAGCUUAUUCCCUGAAUGCACCACUGCUGAAUGUGUUAUCUCUUCCUGAGUAACCUUGUUCCUAAAGACUUAGGCUUUAAGUAAAAUACAGCUAACUCCCCUUGAGUGGUGUCUUCAACUCUUUGUGCU